GCCUGCAUCCGAAAGUGAUCCUGGCUUGCUGGUGCCCUGGUCUUUGAUAGUGCAGGAAGAGGACUUGUUGAAAGCGUUUCCCCGUGUUUGGAGCGUCCACCCUGUCCCUUCCGAACCCUGGAGCUUUCCUACA
ensembl:snoRNA SNORA71 Small nucleolar RNA SNORA71